ensembl:lncRNA
CCCAAGGAAACCUCCCUAGGUGGUGGCUGCCGGAGACCCCUGGAGUCAGGUUCCAGUACGCACCUGCCUGCCCACUAUACGGCGCGGGCCCGAGGAAAAAAUUCACUAAGAGACAGAACUAGGACAGAAGGAGGGGUGCCGGGACGACCAGCGCCGCUGUAACCCACUCGGGCGCUGGACAGGCCCGGGCACUGACUUGCAUUGGCAGUCAACUGGGGUCAAGGCCACGACCUGUGGUGUCUGUGGAAAUUAACGUAAACGAGGCUCAGAAAGGACAAGACAAAGCAUUCUCGAAGUAGGAACACAAUGGACAAAAUCUGAUUGGAAUCAGAACGUUGUCCUUCUAGUCUGAAGGUUGUAGUGGUGGGAACGGAGUCUGGGUGCGAGUUUCUCUGACCUUGUCACGCAGGCUUCGGCCAGACUCACUUCUAUAAAGGAGCCAGUUGUGGGCUCAACUCUUUACACCCUGCCUUGGGCGUAAUCAACAUUAGGGUCCCGUGCAGUGGCAAGCCUGGGGAUCCGGGUGAGAGAGGGGCAGGGGCCCGGGCGAGCUGGGCGGCGCUUGGCUGGCCAGGGGAGGGGAGGGGAGGGGAGGGGAGGGUGGGUCUUCUUCCAAGUCCCGCCUGCCUGCGGGGGAGCGCGGGUCGGUGGGUGCCGUGGGCUGCACGUGGGCCUCACUGGAAAGCAAGUCUGGGUGGCCCGUCCAAGGCUGAGCUCUGCCGUCGGCUUUGGGCAGCAACUACAGAAGAAGGGUGGCUACCAGGGCUGGACCCCGGGGGCAGCAGGAGAGCGGCGCACUCGGGGCGGGAGCUGAGGGGCCGGGCCCGGGGGUCAGUGGUGCAGACCGUGGCCCGUGCUAGGGCGGCAGGGGUGGGGGCGGCGGAGGCGGGGACGGGAACCGCACAAGUCCCAUCUGGGCGCUGGGUCCUCGGGGGCGAUCCAGAGCGGCAGAAAGGGUUUGUUUUAAUGUUCUGCUCUUGUGUUGAAUUUCUGCAAUCUUGACUAUUACAUGCCUUGGUGUAGAUUUUUUUCUUUUUAAAUCAUGGCUAACUGGAAUGCCAUGUGCCUCACUUAUCUCUGUGUCAAAUUCUUUGUCCCAUGCUUGGGAAGUUUUCUGCCAUUAGGUCUCUGAACAGAUUAUUUUUUUUAUGUCAUUUGGGCCCUCUCCUGUUUUUUCAUCGACUCCCAUCAUUCUUACGUUAUUCUUCUUUGCAUCAUCUAGCAGCUGUCGGAUUGACUUUUUGCGGUCCCUUGCUACUUUUAAGCGAUCUUUCUUUUCAUGACCGAACGCUAACCGCAAUCCUGUCUGCAAUGUCUGAUCAUCUGUCCUCACGUUAGCUCAUUCUGCUGUGUGUGCUUUCAGUGGAAGUUUUGAACCUCUUGGAUACCCGUUUGAAUCUAUCUCAUGGAUUCGAUUUCUUUCCUAGAUUGGGCUUCCGUGGCUUCCAUCCUUUUCCUCAGCUCCUAGUUUUUGGUUUUGGUUUUGUUUUUCUUGUUUAAAAUCCGUAUCUACUCUACAGUCACUAACCGUGUCUGUCCCUAUGGUCAUCAUCUCUGUAGUUAUCCGAGAAAUUAUUUUCUUUUUAAAGAAUAAAUCAAAAUGUGUGGAGCACAAUGUAUUGAACACAACACACUCAAGACGUAGAGUGUCUUUUAUCACCCCUAGAUAUUCCUUGAGGUUCCUUCCCGGUAUCUGGCGACCUUCAGUACUUCGCAGCAGCUGAUGAGAUUUCUGCCCCUGCAGACCGGUAUGUUUUUUCUAGAACUUCAUCAGAUGGGAGCCAUACAGUAUAAACUCCGAGUCUGUCUUCACUGGCUGAGCAUGUUUAUGAGAUUCGUGCACAUGUUGCAUGUGACAGUAAUUUAUUUCUUUUAACUGCCGAGUAAUAACCCACUAAAUGGAUAUAUUGCAAUGCGCUUAUUCAUUGUUCCAGUAGUAGUUGUUUCGGUUGUUUACAGUUAGGAGGCAACUAUGAAUAAAGCCGCUAUGAGCAUCUCUGUACAGGUGUUUAUGGAAUUACAUAAUUUAAUUUCUUUUUUGUUGCUGUUGUUGCUUUGUUUGUUUGCUUUUUGGUACCGGGGACCGAACUCGGGUCCUUGCGCUUGCGCAGCAGGUGGUGAAACCACUGAGCUAAAUCCCCGGCCCCUCAUACUUUAAUUUCUUUUGGGUAAAUGUCUAGAAGCAGGAUUUCUGGGUCAUACGUAAGUUAAUUGCAUGUUGAACUUUAUCAAAGAUUUUAAAAUGUUUUCUAAACUGUUUGAACCAUUUCAUAUUCUCACCAGCAAAGCAUGAGAACGUUGUUGCCCCACAUCUUUGACAACACUUGGUAUUGUGAGUCUUUUUAAUUGUAGCCAUUCCAGUGUGUACGUAGUUGUAUCUCAUCGUAGUUAUACUUUGUAUUUCCUUG